rnacentral:lncRNA from 1 species
GAGUCUCCACCGUUCCUCCCUCGAUCUUGAGUGUUUCCUCUAGAUCUUUCAUGGUUUUAACAAGGUUUCAUCUUGCUUUGAAGUUUUUGAGCUUUUGAAUCGAGUUUUGAGCAAGUUUUGAGCUUGGAGGCCAAGGAGCUAGAUUUCCCCCAACUCCAAGUUAGAUCGCCUCUACUCUCGAUCUUCAGGAGGUAAGAGUCGAUCUUGAACUCUUGUCAUGUUUUAAAUAAGUUUCAUGCAAGAUUCAUGGGAUUAAAGGCAUGUUUAGUUCAUGUGUAGGUUUAUGGGUUUAUGUUGUGAUUAUGAGCAAUGUAGCUUGAUUGUGUAUGAAUGAAGUGUUGUAGAUGGGGUAUGUGCAUGUUUGAGACCCCUAGGAACUUGUAUGUGUGUUUUGGUUGAGAAAUAUGCAUGAUUUAUGGUUUUGGGAGGCAGGAGGUUCAUUUGAACCAAGUUUCUGCCGUUUGGCAGAAACCAGGUUCGGCAGCCGNNNNN